UGGCCAAACUACCCUUCGGAGCACGAUACCCUCGGGAAACUGAGGCUAAUAGUGCAUGCCACACUCACUCUGGAAUGACGAGUGUGUCAAACGCUCCGGCGCCGAAGGACGUGGCUGCGGCCGAUUAGGUAGACGGUGGGGUAACGGCCCACCGUGCCGAUAAUCGGUACGGGUGGUGAGAGCCAGAACCCGGAGACGGAAUCUGAGACAAGAUUCCGGGCCCUACGGGGCGCAGCAGGCGCGAAACCUUUACACUGCACGACAGUGCGAUAAGGGGAUCCCAAGUGCGUAGGCAUAGAGCCUACGCUUUUGUACACCGUAGGGAGGUGUACGAAUAAGGGCUGGGCAAGACCGGUGCCAGCCGCCGCGGUAAUACCGGCAGCCCGAGUGAUGGCCGAUUUUAUUGGGCCUAAAGCGUCCGUAGCUGGCCGCACAAGUCCAUCGGGAAAUCCACCCGCUCAACGGGUGGACGUCCGGUGGAAACUGUGUGGCUUGGGACCGGAAGGCGCGACGGGUACGUCCGGGGUAGGAGUGAAAUCCCGUAAUCCUGGACGGACCGCCGAUGGCGAAAGCACGUCGCGAGAACGGAUCCGACAGUGAGGGACGAAAGCUAGGGUCUCGAACCGGAUUAGAUACCCGGGUAGUCCUAGCCGUAAACGAUGCCUGUUAGGUGUGGCUCCCACUACGAGUGGGUGCUGUGCCGUAGGGAAGCCGCUAAACAGGCCGCCUGGGAAGUACGUCCGCAAGGAUGAAACUUAAAGGGAAUUGGCGGGGGAGCACUACAACCGGAGGAGCCUGCGGUUUAAUUGGACUCAACGCCGGACAUCUCACCAGCAUCGACUGUAGUAAUGACGGUCAGGUUGAUGACCUUACCACGAGCUACAGAGAGGAGGUGCAUGGCCGCCGUCAGCUCGUACCGUGAGGCGUCCUGUUAAGUCAGGCAACGAGCGAGACCCGCAUCCUUACUUGCCAGCAACACUGCGAAGUGGUUGGGGACAGUAGGGAGACCGCCGUGGCCAACACGGAGGAAGGAACGGGCAACGGUAGGUCAGUAUGCCCCGAAUGUGCUGGGCAACACGCGGGCUACAAUGGUCGAGACAGAGGGUUCCUACUCCGAAAGGAGACGGUAAUCUCAGAAACUCGAUCGUAGUUCGGAUUGUGGGCUGAAACUCGCCCACAUGAAGCUGGAUUCGGUAGUAAUCGCGUGUCAGCAGCGCGCGGUGAAUACGUCCCUGCUCCUUGCACACACCGCCCGUCAAAGCA
rnacentral:rRNA from 1 species